rnacentral:rRNA from 1 species
AUGUCGCGCUUCGGGAAGGCCGUCCUCCUCUGCUUGGCCCUAUUCGCCGCAUGGCACUUCUGCUCGACCCUGUUCGCCGACGUGCCUCCUGGUCCUGGUGGCGACCCUGCGGAGGAGGCACCGGUAGCGAGCGACGCGGCCGGGAAAGCGUCCGGCCUGCCUCUCGCCAGGGAGGCCGGCGUCCGGGAGGCGGCCGGAGCGGGGCGCAACUUCGUCAUCUCGCCGCUGUCCAUCCAUGCGGCGCUCGCGAUGGUGACCGCCGGCGCGCGAGGCGACACGCGCAGGGAGCUCCUGGGUUUCCUCGGGUCAGCGUCGCUCGACGAGCUGCACCGCUCGCCGGCGAUCAAGCUUGUGGGCAGGCUCAACGGCCUGACGCAGACGUCCUUCGCCUGCGGCGUGUGGGUCGACCAGAGGCGGGCGCUCAGGCCAGAGUUCACGGCCACCGGCGCGUCGCGGUACGCCGCCACGGCAGAAUCUGUGGACUUUGUGUCGGGGGCCGAGCUGGCGAGGCGGCGCGUGAACGCCUUUGUGGCGGACGCGACGAACCAGCGCAUCCAUGACAUACUCCCUCCCGGCUCCGUCCACUCGUCCACGGAGGUCGUCCUCGCCAACGCGCUCUACUUCAAAGGAGCGUGGCGUCGACCGUUCGACGUCUUCACCGCGCCGUUCCACAUCCCAGGCGGCACCACCGUGGGCGUGCCAUCUAUGACGACAGGCCGGUCACAGUACAUCGCUCUCUACCCGGGCUUCAGGGCCCUCAAACUGCCCUACAGGACCGACGGCGAUCGGCAAGCUGCUGCAUUCUACAUGCUUAUCCUUCUCCCGGACAGCGGCAUUCUCAGCCUCACGGAUCUCUAUGACAAGGCGGUGUCGAUGCCAGAGUUCAUAAGGAAGCACACGCCGGAAGAGGAAGUUCCAGUGGGGUAA